GAUGAACGCUGGCGGCGUGCCUAAUACAUGCAAGUCGAGCGAACGGACGAGAAGCUUGCUUCUCUGAUGUUAGCGGCGGACGGGUGAGUAACACGUGGAUAACCUACCUAUAAGACUGGGAUAACUUCGGGAAACCGUAGCUAAUACCGGAUAAUAUUUUGAACCGCAUGGUUCAAAAGUGAAAGACGGUCUUGCUGUCACUUAUAGAUGGAUCCGCGCUGCAUUAGCUAGUUGGUAAGGUAACGGCUUACCAAGGCAACGAUGCAUAGCCGACCUGAGAGGGUGAACGGACACACUGGAACUGAGACACGGUCCAGACUCCUACGGGAGGCAGCAGUAGGGAAUCUUCCGCAAUGGGCGAAAGCCUGACGGAGCAACGCCGCGUGAGUGAUGAAGGUCUUCGGAUCGUAAAACUCUGUUAUUAGGGAAGAACAUAUGUGUAAGUAACUGUGCACAUCUUGACGGUACCUAAUCAGAAAGCCACGGCUAACUACGUG
rnacentral:rRNA from 1 species